ensembl:lncRNA
ACUGUUGUUUUUUAAUGGUCGUCAUGAAAAAAAACAUAAGGGGUAACACUGUUGUUUUUUAUUGGUCGUCAUGAAAAAAAACAUAAGGGGUAACACUGUUGUUUUUUAUUGGUCGUCAUGAAAAAAAAAUAUGGGGUAACACAGUUGUUUUUUAUUUGUCGUCAUGAAAAAAAACAUAAGGGGGGUAACACUGUUAUUUUUUAUUGGUCGUCAUGAAAAAAAACAUAAAGGGUAACACUGUUGUUUUUUAUUGGUUGUCAUGAAAAAAAACAUAAAGGGUAACACUGUUGUUUUUUAUUGGUUGUCAUGAAAAAAAA